GAGAUGCUUUGCGUCGUCAAAAUAAACUUAAAAUUCCAGUUAGUAAUAUAUCAUGUAAAUAAUAUUUUAUUUAAUUUUAUCUAGUUUUAGGUUGUGAUUUUCAUUUUUAAAAAAUUGUAGGUAAGAACUUUCGGGAUAUACUAACGAUCCAGGAUUUUUAGCACCAUAUCAAGGGACUAGAUAUCAUUUGAAUGAGUGGAUUAGAAACACCCCUCAAAAUUUCAAAGAGUUAUUUAAUCUUUGUCAUUCAAGUGUACGAAAUGCAAUAAAAAGGUUUUUUGAAAUAUUGAAAAAAAAGAUGGAGUAUAUUAAGAACUCCUUCAUUUUUUGAUAUAAAGACGCAAAUAAGAAUUAUUAAUGCUUGCUUUGUGUUACACAAUUUUAUAAGAGACGAGAAACAAAUUGAUCAACUUUUGGAGGUUAAAGACUUGGAGCUCUUAGCUAUUGUUGAUGAGGAGCUAACUAACCAACAAAGAGAAAGAGUUCAAAACAAUGUCAUAGACGAGGUUGUAACUAUUCAAGUUACUGGGGAAUGGACGAGAUUUCGAGAUACAUUGGCAAUGAAUAUGUUUGCUAACUACCAAGUUAGAAGAAACAUUGCUUAGGGAGAGUUUUUUUAUGCAAUUUCUAUUAAAGAAAGACUUUUUUUUCUGUACUUAAUGGACUUUUAUGUACUAGAUUGAAGAAAACUUUGGUUGAAAUAUUGUCUUUUGAUAGCUUCCAUUUGUUUUCAAAAAAAAUAUUUACAUGAUCUAUAAUUAUGCAUUGGAUUGAUCAAGUUAAUUUUGUGGGUUGAUGUAUUUUGAGAUUAAAGAAGUUUGGGCAAUAUGAGUGAUAGAGCUUGGAAAAGGGUAACAUACAAUGUUGCAGCUAUAGUAUAAUCUAUCAACUUCAAAAUCUAGGUCACUUGGGAGAAUGUAAAAAAUCGUAUCAAACUUUGGAGAUCAUGCUAUGGAGUUAAUAGUGACAUCCUCAGUCAAAGUGGAUUUGAUUGGGAUGACAUAAAACACACGAUUACAGUUGACAAUGAAAAUGUUUGGAAUGAGUAUGUUAAUGCCCAUAAAGAAGCAAGACAACUUCGACUCAAGGUGAUUGCAAACUGGGAUGAUAUAGUGAACUUGUGUGCUAAAGAUAGAGCCACUUGACAUGAAGUUGAGACUGUUAUGGAUGCUGAUGAGGUCAUGAGCAGAUAAAUAAAUGAAGGGGGAAUUAGGUUUAGAGGGUGAUAGUGUUACCAUAUAUUUAGAUGAACCUAGCUUUACUACACAAAGAAGGGGUUAAUCUUCAACUUCUACUAGCACACAAUCUCAGAGGAGAAAGAAGGGGAAAAAAGAUGAAAAAUCUAAUUCAUUGAAAGAAGUGGCUGAAUCUUUAAAGAGACUUGUUCAAGCAUUUGAUAUUGCGGUUGAUGAAAAUGCUUUUAUUUAAGAAGUGUCAGCUGAGGCAUCUUUGAUACCAAACCUUAAUCAACAUCAAUGGGUCAAAGCUGUUAAAUGGUUAUUUGACACUCCAAAGCAAUUAGCUAUUGUGAAAGCCCUUCCAAUUAAGAAAAAAGGUUUGGAGCUUUUAUGUAUUUCAUGAAUACUUGGAAGUUACCAUUAGGCUUUGCAUCUAUGAGAAGGUGAAAAUCUUUGGUCUUGAAGUUGUGAUCUUGAUAUCUUUGACAAACUAUCUUUUAUUUUUGUUAUCUUGAUAUGGACACACAUACAUUUGGGAUUUCAUUAGUGUUUAUUUUAAAUCUACAUGAGAUAUUGUGAUUUUGAACUAUCUAUAUUCAAAGUUAAGA